rnacentral:lncRNA from 1 species
ACCAAUUACCUCCUAUUCCCCAUAUAGAGCACUACUUCUAACCACAGCCCUGGAGCCCAAACAAACACACAUUAUCGACUGGCUCACACACACACACACACAUUCAGGCCUUAGAUGUGCCAGGGCCCAGACAGACCAGUGGCCCCUGGAGGAAGCAACAUAACCCCAGGGACCAUGUGUGCUUCUGUGCCCAACGUCUUCACUACAAGGAGAGUGGGAGGAGGGUGGAGGAGAGGAAGUGCAAAAUGGGUGUGAAUUAAUGGUCUCUCCUGGUCUGGUGCUUUUGAUGUAACACCUAGCCAACUGCCCAGGGAUUUAAACCAACUGUCCAAGGAUUUAAUAAACCAACUGUUCAGGGAUUUAAUAAACCAACUGUCCAGGGAUUUAAACCAACUGUCCAGGGAUUUAAACCAACUGUCCAGGAACUUAAUAAACCAAUUGCCCAGAGAUUUAAACCAUCUGUCCAGGGUUUUAAUAAACCAACUGCCCAGAGAUGUAAACCAACUGUCCAAGGAUUUAAACCAACUGUCCAGGGACUUAAUAAACCAACUGCCCAAGGAUUUAAACCAACUGUCCAAGGAUUUAAACCAACUGCCCAGGGAUUUAAACCAACUGUCCAAGGAUUUAAACCAACUGCCCAAGGAUUUAAACCAACUGCCCAAGGAUUUAAUAAACCAACUGCCCAGGGAUUUAAUAAACCAACUGUCCAGGGAUUUAAUAAACCAACUGUCCAGGGAUUUAAACCAACUGUCCAAGGAUUUAAUAAACCAACUGUCCAGGGAUUUAAUAAACCAACUGUCCAAGGAUGUAAUAAACCAUCUGUCCAGGGACUUAAUAAACCAUCUGUCCAGGGAUUUAAAUCAACUGUCCAAGGAUUUAAUAAACCAACUGUCCAAGGAUUUAAUAAACAAACUGUCCCUAUGGGCCCUGACACUCUAUUCCCUAUGUGGAGCCCUAUGGGCCCUGACACUCUAUUCCCUAUGUGGAGCCCUAUGGGUCCUGACACUCUAUUCCCUAUGUGGAGCCCUAUGGGCCCUGAUACUCUAUUCCCUAUGUGGAGCCCUAUGGGCCCUGACACUCUAUUCCCUAUGUGGAGCCCUAUGGGCCUUGGUCAAUAGUAGUACACUAUAAAAUUAAUAGGAUACCAUUUGGGACUCAAUAUCAGUCUGACCUCUGUUGACCCCUCCAUGUCCGGCCACUGACCCCACCCAACUUCUGUAGUUUAAUGCCUGUGGUGUAAACAGUCAAGUACAGUCAACAUCUAUAUUUCCAAUCUAAAAUAUGAGCCU